GCGGGCGUGGCGAAACUGGCAGACGCACCAGACUUAGGAUCUGGCGCUUUACGGCAUGUGGGUUCGAGUCCCUCCGCCCGCA
rnacentral:tRNA from 1 species